GCCGGGCGUGGUGGCUCACGCCUGUAAUCCCAGCACUUUGGGAGGCCGAGGUGGGUGGAUCACCUGAGGUCAGGAAUUUGAGACCAGCCUGACCAACAUGGUGAAACCCCAUCUCUA
rnacentral:SRP_RNA from 1 species